GUUUACCGUCACAGCGGGUACCUUUACAGAGGUACUUUAUAACAUCUGGUGACCUGUCCCCGUUUCUUCAGACAGCGGAGCUACUGGAGUUAGCUUAGCAUGUUAGCUGGAAACAGCCUGACGGGGGACGGAGCGUAGCAUCAUCGCAGCUGGUCAGAGUGAGUGUGUGCUGGAGAGCACAGAGGCGUGACGGAGUGUGUGUGGUUGCGUGAACAUGUCUGAAGUUUUCAAGCAGAGAGCUCUGGUGAAGCGGAUACUGACCGCGGCUGCUGGAGAGAUCUUUGUUCUGUUUGAAAGAACUGUAGCGGAGUACGAGGAGGAACUAUGUCGUUCAGAACAGGAGAACCAGCGACAGCAUAAACUACUGGACACUGUUUUCAGCCCCUAAGGUUUUUGUUGCACAGAGCAGACAUCCAGCAACUGUUGAUGAGUGAAGAAGAGCAGCAGGAGUGGAGCUCCAGUCUGGAC